GGGGAAUAUUGGACAAUGGGCGCAAGCCUGAUCCAGCCAUGCCGCGUGAGUGAUGAAGGCCUUAGGGUUGUAAAGCUCCUUCACCGGUGAAGAUAAUGACGGUAGCCGGAGAAGAAGCCCCGGCUAACUUCGUGCCAGCAGCCGCGGUAAUACGAAGGGGGCUAGCGUUGUUCGGAAUUACUGGGCGUAAAGCGCACGUAGGCGGAUUGGUCAGUUAGGGGUGAAAUCCCAGGGCUCAACCCUGGAACUGCCUUUAAUACUGCCAGUCUUGAGUUCGAGAGAGGUGAGUGGAAUUCCGAGUGUAGAGGUGAAAUUCGUAGAUAUUCGGAGGAACACCAGUGGCGAAGGCGGCUCACUGGCUCGAUACUGACGCUGAGGUGCGAAAGCGUGGGGAGCAAGC
rnacentral:rRNA from 1 species